GAUCAAGAGUUCCGGCCCACAGCCCUGGCUGGCCGGACGGCAACCCUCUCCCGUAGCGGGGUGCCCCAGGUGAGGAUCGGGCCGCUCGCUAGACCGCGUGCGGCAAGUACGGCGC
rnacentral:ncRNA from 2 species